CCCGCUGAACUUAAGCAUAUCAAUAAGCGGAGGAAAAGAAACCAACCGGGAUUGCCUCAGUAACGGCGAGUGAAGCGGCAAGAGCUCAAAUUUGAAAGCUGGCUCCUUCGGGGUCCGCAUUGUAAUUUGCAGAGGAUGCUUCGGGUGCGGCCCCUGUCUAAGUGCCCUGGAACGGGCCGUCAGAGAGGGUGAGAAUCCCGUCUGGGAUGGGGUGUCCGCGCCCGUGUGAAGCUCCUUCGACGAGUCGAGUUGUUUGGGAAUGCAGCUCUAAAUGGGUGGUAAAUUUCAUCUAAAGCUAAAUACUGGCCGGAGACCGAUAGCGCACAAGUAGAGUGAUCGAAAGAUGAAAAGCACUUUGAAAAGAGAGUUAAAAAGCACGUGAAAUUGUUGAAAGGGAAGCGCUUGCGACCAGACUCGCCUCCAGGGUUCAGCCGGCAUUCGUGCCGGUGUACUUCCCUGGGGGCGGGCCAGCGUCGGUUUGGGCGGCCGGUCAAAGGCUCCCGGAAUGUAGUGCCCUCCGGGGCACCUUAUAGCCGGGAGUGCAAUGCGGCCAGCCUGGACCGAGGAACGCGCUUCGGCACGGACGCUGGCAUAAUGGUCGUAAACGACC
rnacentral:rRNA from 1 species